rnacentral:rRNA from 1 species
GUCUAUGGCCACGCCACCCUGAACAGGCCCGAUGUCUGAUCUCGGAAGCUAAGCAGGGUCGGCCUGGUUAGUACUUGGAUGGGAGACCAUCCAGCGCCGGGCUGUGCUGUAGACG